CCGCGGCCCGGGAGCGGCCGCCUCUCACGGGCUGGAGGCGCUUAUGAGGCGGUGCGGGGGCGGCUGCCCGCACUCCCGGGCCCCGCGGCGGGCCGGGCUGCCGAGGUGCCGCUGCUCACACAGGUGUGAUAUUUAUUUUUUUUUUAAUUUUUUUUUCUUUUUCUUUUUUUCUUCAGAGCGGCUCCCGCCUCAUUGGCACAGCUCGUUCGGUACCGGAGCCGAGAGAAACAACAGGUUUGGGGAUGCUCGCCAUCUCGACAGUAGGAUCUAGGAUCUGUAUGGAUUAACUGUGCUGCUCAGGGACCACAUUCAGACCAGAAUUGGUGGAGGAGCAUAAGUGCACAUGGCCUGGCCCUUGAUCAGAUCCAACAGAGUCUCACCAUGAAGAAUACAGAACUGACUGCUGAGCAAUGCUGAAGAAGCCACCUCGGGUCUAGUGAAGCCAGCGAAGAACUAUAGGAAUUAAUUCCCAGCUGGUGCCAGGCUAGGUCUCAUGGAGACAUUCAACAGAAACCUCGAUCACACUCUUUCUGCCUUACAUAGUUGGCAUUUCUGAGCAGCCUGAGUCAUAGAGAACAGGCUGCAUGCUUUCCAAGUAAACAGAGCAGUGCAAUUACCUUCCAGUUAUACUGCAUGAAACCAGAGGUUUUAAAAGCUGCACCAAUGUUUCACACAAAAAUCAAAUUAGGGAAGUUCAUUCUUAUGGUUGCUUCUCAGUGGGUACAGUCUUUUUUGAGUUUUGGGUUUUACAAGUCAGGUCCCAGCACUAGUCUUAAAAAUGUAUUGUUUUCUGCUGUAAUAGCAGUAGAAAUUAAUAAACAGUAGCUGUGCUUCUCAUGAAAUGCCAUGAAGUUUUUGGAAGGAACUGAAUACAUCUGUACCUAAAAGUCAGUAGAACCAUCUUCAGAAUAAUAAUAAAAAAAUCUGACUAAAAUGG